GUAGCCCUCCAUGCUAGGGGUUUUACCAUAACUGGUAUUGCCCGUCAGCUUGGUAUUCACCGGAACACAGCAGCACGGUGGAUUCGGCGGCACGGAGACACUGGUGCUACAGAGGACAUGCCACGAGUCGGGCGCCCACGCUGCACCUCCGCAGCCGAAGACCAGGCCAUAAAUAACGCCAUCGAUGAGGACCCAUUCACACCUGCUGUCAACAUUCGCCGUGACCAGGGUCUGCAGUGCAGCACUCAGACCAUUCGGAACAGGCUUCACAACAGGAAUUUCCGAGGUCGGAGGCCAGCCACAAAGCAGAAACUAAGCGAGCGUAACAUGGAGCAGCGCAUGGAGUAUGCGCUCGAGUAUGCUGACAUGCCAGCAGACUUUGGGAGAAUGUAGUCUUUCUGAUGAAAAGACUUUCUACUCAGAUGGCACAUCAGCAGCACAAUAUGUUUGGCGGAAAUGUGGCACCAGGUUAGUCUCUCUCUCUCUCUCUCUCUCUCUCUCUCUCUCUCUCUCUCUCUCUCUCUCUCUCUCUCUCUCUCUCUCUCUCUCUCUCUCUCU